rnacentral:tRNA from 1 species
UCWAAUGUGGCAGRWUUAGUGCGACGGACUUAAGUCCCGUGUAUAAAUCAAAAAUUUCUUUAGAA